AUUGAACGCUGGCGGCAGGCCUAACACAUGCAAGUCGAACGGUAACAGGAAGAAGCUUGCUUCUUUGCUGACGAGUGGCGGACGGGUGAGUAAUGUCUGGGAAACUGCCUGAUGGAGGGGGAUAACUACUGGAAACGGUAGCUAAUACCGCAUAACGUCGCAAGGCCAAAAAGGGGGACCUUCGGGCCUCUUGCCAUCGGAUGUGCCCAGAUGGGAUUAGCUAGUAGGUGGGGUAACGGCUCACCUAGGCGACGAUCCCUAGCUGGUCUGAGAGGAUGACCAUCCACACUGGAACUGAGACACGGUCCAGACUCCUACGGGAGGCAGCAGUGGGGAAUAUUGCACAAUGGGCGCAAGCCUGAUGCAGCCAUGCCGCGUGUAUGAAGAAGGCCUUCGGGUUGUAAAGUACUUUCAGCGGGGAGGAAGGGAGUAAAGUUAAUACCUUUGCUCAUUGACGUUACCCGCAGAAGAAGCACCGGCUAACUCCGUG
rnacentral:rRNA from 1 species